AGAGUGAACGCUGGCGGCAGGCCUAACACAUGCAAGUCGAACGGCAGCACAGGGGAGCUUGCUCCCUGGGUGGCGAGUGGCGGACGGGUGAGGACAACGUCGGAAUCUGCCUUUUGUGGGGGAUAACGUAGGGAAACUUACGCUAAUACCGCAUACGACCCCGGGCCGGAAGGUACGGGGUGAAAGCGGAGGACCUUCGGGCUUCGCGCAGAGAGAUGAGCCGACGUCGGAUUAGCUAGUUGGUGGGUAAAGGCCCACAAGGCGACGAUCCGUAGCUGGUCUGAGAGGAUGAUCAGCCACACUGGAACUGAGACACGGUCCAGACUCCU
rnacentral:rRNA from 1 species